rfam:Triticum aestivum genome assembly, contig: Triticum_aestivum_CS42_TGACv1_scaffold_003148_1AL
UUUGCUUUGGUGAGUCGUAACUCAUAAUAAGCCCAACCGUUCAAUUGGUCCUUCAGUGAAAUACUAAUUUACGCAUGGCUUCUCAUCUGU